rnacentral:rRNA from 1 species
GGCGACGGUUGUCCCGGUUUAAGCGUGUAGGCUGGUUUUCCAGGCAAAUCCGGAAAAUCAAGGCUGAGGCGUGAUGACGAGGCACUACGGUGCUGAAGCAACAAAUGCCCUGCUUCCAGGAAAAGCCUCUAAGCAUCAGGUAACAUCAAAUCGUACCCCAAACCGACACAGGUGGUCAGGUAGAGAAUACCAAGGCGCUUGAGAGAACUCGGGUGAAGGAACUAGGCAAAAUGGUGCCGUAACUUCGGGAGAAGGCACGCUGAUAUGUAGGUGAAGUCCCUCGCGGAUGGAGCUGAAAUCAGUCGAAGAUACCAGCUGGCUGCAACUGUUUAUUAAAAACACAGCACUGUGCAAACACGAAAGUGGACGUAUACGGUGUGACGCCUGCCCGGUGCCGGAAGGUUAAUUGAUGGGGUCAGCGCAAGCGAAGCUCUUGAUCGAAGCCCCGGUAAACGGCGGCCGUAACUAUAACGGUCCUAAGGUAGCGAAAUUCCUUGUCGGGUAAGUUCCGACCUGCACGAAUGGCGUAAUGAUGGCCAGGCUGUCUCCACCCGAGACUCAGUGAAAUUGAACUCGCUGUGAAGAUGCAGUGUACCCGCGGCAAGACGGAAAGACCCCGUGAACCUUUACUAUAGCUUGACACUGAACAUUGAGCCUUGAUGUGUAGGAUAGGUGGGAGGCUUAGAAGUGUGGACGCCAGUCUGCAUGGAGCCGACCUUGAAAUACCACCCUUUAAUGUUUGAUGUUCUAACGUUGACCCGUAAUCCGGGUUGCGGACAGUGUCUGGUGGGUAGUUUGACUGGGGCGGUCUCCUCCUAAAGAGUAACGGAGGAGCACGAAGGUUGGCUAAUCCUGGUCGGACAUCAGGAGGUUAGUGCAAUGGCAUAAGCCAGCUUGACUGCGAGCGUGACGGCGCGAGCAGGUGCGAAAGCAGGUCAUAGUGAUCCGGUGGUUCUGAAUGGAAGGGCCAUCGCUCAACGGAUAAAAGGUACUCCGGGGAUAACAGGCUGAUACCGCCCAAGAGUUCAUAUCGACGGCGGUGUUUGGCACCUCGAUGUCGGCUCAUCACAUCCUGGGGCUGAAGUAGGUCCCAAGGGUAUGGCUGUUCGCCAUUUAAAGUGGUACGCGAGCUGGGUUUAGAACGUCGUGAGACAGUUCGGUCCCUAUCUGCCGUGGGCGCUGGAGAACUGAGGGGGGCUGCUCCUAGUACGAGAGGACCGGAGUGGACGCAUCACUGGUGUUCGGGUUGUCAUGCCAAUGGCACUGCCCGGUAGCUAAA